UGAACGCUGGCGGCGUGCCUAAUACAUGCACGUCGAGCGAACAGACGCGGAGCUUGCUCCUCUGACGUUAGCGGCGGACGGGUGAGUAACACGUGGAUAACCUACCUAUAAGACUGGGAUAACUUCGGGAAACCGGAGCUAAUACCGGAUAAUAUAUUGAACCGCAUGGUUCAAUAGUGAAAGACGGUUUUGCUGUCACUUAUAGAUGGAUCCGCGCCGCAUUAGCUAGUUGGUAAGGUAACGGCUUACCAAGGCAACGAUGCGUAGCCGACCUGAGAGGGUGACCGGCCACACUGGAACUGAGACACGGUCCAGACUCCUACGGGAGGCAGCAGUAGGGAAUCUUCCGCAAUGGGCGAAAGCCUGACGGAGCAACGCCGCGUGAGUGAUGAAGGUCUUCGGAUCGUAAAACUCUGUUAUUAGGGAAGAACAAAUGUGUAAGUAACUAUGCACGUCUUGACGGUACCUAAUCAGAAAGCCACGGCUAACUACGUG
rnacentral:rRNA from 1 species